ACUAAUUGUAUGAUUAUGGGAUUCCACUGUCCCACUUCGCUUAUCCUCCCCACGUCACAGUUCCUCCAUUGUGUCCUACAGCACUUUUUACAGUUAUAACUUUUUUUCAAUCCUUCUGGGCACCUGUUUUAAGACAAGCAUCGAAGUGGACGAAGCAGUACGAUACCAGACGGUGGUCAGACAAGUAAUUCUAGAUCUCGUGCACAAAAGCAAACAACAAGCGACAAUCUUUCAUACUGUUUACAAGUGUUAUAAAGGUGUUCUUUUUUUAAAUAACUGGUAGGGAGACGAUCGUACCAGCGCGGUUUUCAAUUGUUUUCUAUUAUAGAAUUUUCACACGUAACAUUUUCAUCGAUAGCGUUAAUUUAAUUGGAAUUGUCGUAAGUUUAAAUAUACAUCCAAUGCACAGAGAACAAAUCUAACAGCAUCUGAGGAACCUAAUUCCGACAAAAAACAACAUGGAUCAGCAUUAACUCAGGGAACUACUUAUCAGCGCACAGCUUGCCAAGGGGUUUGCAAACAUGCACGCAGGUCGCACAAAAUGCAUCUGCCGACCAUGUGCGAGCGCGUUUUCCUUCAGAUGGUCCUUGCGGUUUAGCUGAGACUCGUCUUUUCUGCAUUCUC